CUCAGGAUGAACGCUAGCUACAGGCUUAACACAUGCAAGUCGAGGGGCAGCAUUGGAGUAGCAAUACUCAGAUGGCGACCGGCGCACGGGUGAGUAACACGUAUCCAACCUGCCGCUUACUCGGGGAUAGCCUUUCGAAAGAAAGAUUAAUACCCGAUGGUAUAAAGAGUUCGCAUGUUCUCUUUAUUAAAGAAUUUCGGUAAGCGAUGGGGAUGCGUUCCAUUAGAUAGUUGGCGGGGUAACGGCCCACCAAGUCUACGAUGGAUAGGGGUUCUGAGAGGAAGGUCCCCCACAUUGGAACUGAGACACGGUCCAAACUCCUACGGGAGGCAGCAGUGAGGAAUAUUGGUCAAUGGACGAGAGUCUGAACCAGCCAAAAGUAGCGUGAAGGAUGACUGCCCUAUGGGUUGUAAACUUCUUUUAUAAGGGAAUAAAGUGAGGGACGUGUCCCUUUUUGUAUGUACCUUAUGAAUAGGGAUCGGCUAACUCCGUGCCAGCCGCCGC
rnacentral:rRNA from 1 species